ACUAGCGACCCAAACCGGCCCUAGUCUUCUGCCCUAAUUCGCGUCCUCCAGACCUUCCUAUCUAGGGUCAUGUCCUCGGUGAGCUGUAACUGCUCCAUGUCCCGCCUAAUCACCUCACCCCAGUACUUCUUCGGCCUACCCCUACCCCAUCUAAAACCGUCCAACGCUAGCCUCUCACACCUACGAACCGGGGCAUCCAUGCC
rnacentral:lncRNA from 1 species